UAGAUCAAUUCAGCAGCAACAUGUAUCAAAUUAAAAUUAUGCAGAAAAGAUUAGCCUGCCCCUGCAGAAGGAUAAUACACAAAGUGACGAAACGCUCUGUACUUUG